rnacentral:rRNA from 1 species
AACGAACGUUGGCGGCGUGGAUUAGGCAUGCAAGUCGCGGGAAUCCCAGCAAUGGGGGAACCGGCGUAAGGGGCAGUAAUGCGUGGGUACCUACCCCGGGGUCCGGGAUAGCCGUCCGAGAGGGCGGGUAAUACCGGAUGACCUCGGGAGAGCAAAGCUCCGGCGCCCCGGGAGGGGCCCACGUGAUAUUAGCUAGUUGGUGAGGUGACUGCUCAACAAGGCGGAGAUGUCUAGCGGGUGUGAGAGCACGACCCGCGCCACUCGCACUGAGACAGUGGCGAGACACCUACGGGUGGCUGCAGUCGAGGGUCUGCGGCAAUGUGCGCAAGCGCGACCGAGCGACGCCGCGGGGGCGAUGAAGGCCUUCGGGUUGUAAAGCCCUGUCGAGGGGGAGAAAAGCGGGAAACCGUGUGAUCUAUCCCUGGAGGAAGCUCGGGCUAAGUUCGUGCCAGCCGCCGCCGUAAAAC